GAUGAACGCUAGCGGGAGGCCUAACACAUGCAAGCCGAGCGGUAUUGUUUCUUCGGAAAUGAGAGAGCGGCGUACGGGUGCGGAACACGUGUGCAACCUGCCUUUAUCUGGAGGAUAGCCUUUCGAAAGGAAGAUUAAUACUCCAUAAUAUAUUAAUUGGCAUCAAUUGAUAUUGAAAACUCCGGUGGAUAGAGAUGGGCACGCGCAAGAUUAGCUAGUUGGUGAGGUAACGGCUCACCAAGGCAAUGAUCUUUAGGGGGCCUGAGAGGGUGAGCCCCCACACUGGUACUGAGACACGGACCAGACUCCUACGGGAGGCAGCAGUGAGGAAUAUUGGUCAAUGGGUGCAAGCCUGAACCAGCCAUCCCGCGUGAAGGAUUAAGGUCCUAUGGAUUGUAAACUUCUUUUGUAUAGGGAUAAACCUACCCUCGUGAGGGUAGCUGAAGGUACUAUACGAAUAAGCACCGGCUAACUCCGUGCCAGCCGCCGCAGUAACAC
rnacentral:rRNA from 1 species